rnacentral:rRNA from 1 species
GACGAACGCUGGCGGCGUGCCUAAUACAUGCAAGUCGAACGCAGUGGGGACGGGUGGGUAACACGUGGGUAACCUCCCAUCAGAGGGGAUAACACUUGGAAACAGGUGCUAAAACCGAUAAUGAUGGAUGAACCCGCGGGGCAUUAGCUAGUUGGUGAGGUACCGGCUCACCAAGGCCAAGAUGCAGAGCAGACCUGCGAGGGGUACUGGCCACUCUGGGACUGAGACACGGCCCAGACUCCUACGGGUGCCAGCAGUAGGGAAUCUUCGGCAAUGGGCGAAAGGCUGAUCGAGCAACGCCGCGUGAGUGAAGAAGGUUUUCGGAUCGUAAAACUCUUUUGUGAGAGAAGCGGUAUCUAACCAGAAAGCCACGGCUAACUACGUGCCAGCAGCCGCGGUAAUAC